rnacentral:lncRNA from 1 species
ACAGGUGGCCGGGGGGGGGAGGGGCGGGCCCGAAUUCCUCCCGGGUCACAGCGGGCCCGGCCCAGCGCUCCCAGUUCCGACCAGUCCGGACCAGUUCGGACCAGUUCAGACCAGUUCAGCCCAGCGCUCCCAGUUCCGACCAGUCCGGACCAGUUCAGACCAGUUCAGUGUGCCCAGCGCUCCCAGUUCAGACCAGUCCGGACCAGUUCAGACCAGUUCAGUGUGCCCAGCGCUCCCAGUUCCGACCAGUUCGGACCAGUUCAGUGUGCCCAGCGCUCCCAGUUCGGACCAGUCCGGACCAGUUCAGUGUGCCCAGAGCUCCCAGUUCCGACCAGUCUGGACCAGUUCGGACCAGUUCAGACCAGUUCAACCCAGUGCUCCCAGUUCGGACCAGUUCGGACCAGUUCGGACCAGUCCAGACCAGUUCAGUGUUCCCAGUGCUCCCAGUUCAGACCAGUUCACACCAGUGCUCCCAGUUCGGACCAGUUCAGUGUUCCCAGUGCUCCCAGUCUGGACCAGUUCAGACCAGUUCAGACCAGUUCAGACCAGUUCAGCCCAGUGCUCCCAAUUUGGACCAGUUCGGACCAGUUCAGUGUUUCCAGCGCUCCCGGUUCGGACCAGUUCAGACCAGUCCGGACCAGUCCAGACCGGUUGAGACCAGUCCAGACCAGUUCAGUGCUCCCAGCGCUCCCAGUCCGGACCAGUCCAGACCAGUUCAGUGUUCCCAGCGCUCCCAGUCUGGACCAGUCUGGCCCAGUUCAGACCAGUCUAGACCAGUUCAGUGCUCCCAGUACAGCCCAGUCCGGACCAGUCCAGACCAGUCUGGCCCAGUUCAGUGAUCCCAGUGCUCCCAGUCUGGACCAGUUCAGACCAGUUCGGACCAGUCUGGCCCAGUUCAGUGUUCCCAGCGCUCCCAGUCUGGACCAGUUCAGACCAGUUCGGACCAGUCUGGCCCAGUUCAGUGUUCCCAGCGCUCCCAGUCUGGACCAGUCCAGACCAGUCUGGCCCAGUUCAGCCCAGUGCUCCCAGUUUGGACCAGUUCA